rnacentral:tRNA from 1 species
UGGAAGGUGGCUCAGUGGUAGAGUGCUUGUCUUGAAUGCAUGAGGUCCUGGGUUCGAUUCCCCAUACCGC